rnacentral:rRNA from 1 species
UACGUAGGGUGCAAGCGUUAAUCGGAAUUACUGGGCGUAAAGGGCGUGUAGGCGGUUUGUUAAGUCUGGCGUGAAAGCUCUCGGCUAAACCGCGAGAGGUCGUUGGAUACUGGUUGACUAGAGGACGGUAGAGGCGUGUGGAAUUCCGGGUGUAGUGGUGAAAUGCGUAGAGAUCCGGAGGAACACCAGUGGCGAAGGCGACACGCUGGGCCGUACCUGACGCUAAAACGCGACAGCAUGGGGAGCGAACGGG